rnacentral:rRNA from 1 species
AGAGUUUGAUCCUGGCUCAGGAUGAACGCUAGCUACAGGCUUAACACAUGCAAGUCGAGGGGAAACGAUAUUGGAGGCUUGCUUCCCGAUAGGCGUCGACCGGCGUACGGGUGAGUAACGCGUAUCCAACCUGCCCACCACUUGGGGAGUAACCUUGCGAAAGUAAGACUAAUACCCAAUGACGUCUCUAGAAGACAUCUGAAAGAGAUUAAAGAUUUAUCGGUGAUGGAUGGGGAUGCGUCUGAUUAGCUUGUUGGCGGGGUAACGGCCCACCAAGGCGACGAUCAGUAGGGGUUCUGAGAGGAAGGCCCCCACAUUGGAACUGAGACACGGUCCAAACUCCUACGGGAGGCAGCA